UCCUGGUGUGUAAGAGUACAUGUGGCUACUAUCUCUGUGCUAUUUCUGGACCACUUUAGUGAUAGCAGCAUCUCAAAUAACUGUAUGAUAGAAACAGCCUUCAGUUUAAGAGCCUACAAAGAGGCAGCAGCUACAGCAGUCAUCCCAUGGCAAUAGCUCCAAGAAUGAAAAAGCCCAAUGUUUGGAUACGACUUACACAAAGAUCCUCCCUGUGUCAGUGGACAGUUUCCUCGCCUCACUUGUUGGCUCAGGAAGUUGAAUAUCGUCACUAGCUGAGACCCCAGUAUCCACCCACACAAGAAUCUGGCCUCUCUCCCAUUCUGAGGUCCAGGCAGGGGGAAACGAACCUUUCUUCCCUUUGUGAGGAAUUCAACAUGAGCAUUCAGUGCAUGCCCAUGAACUGUGAAGCUCCAGGCCAGUUCAGCAAAACUUUUCAACAGGGUGGGCAAUCCACAUCUCACCCUAUACCCGUCCCCAGGUUGCAGGCUCUACAACAGAAUACAGAGGGGGGCAGAGGGCAGGGGGAAGAGGCCUGGCUUCGGCUGCACCAGGGGCUCUCUAGUUGCCAGGAAUGUGAAACGCUUCCCAAGGAAAUUCCUCCUCCUUCAGGAAGACAGGGAAGGAAACCAAGAGAAUUUUGACACAUUUCAAGCAGUGGGAGUGAGCAUGAGAAAGAGGGGAGUGAAGGCGCUGAUUGGCCUACUGUUAGCAAAGUGUGUGAACAGCAUGGUGGAGCGACAUCAGUUAUUUAUAAAUAUUCCCAAAAUCUGUAAUAUCUUUUAAGAAGGGCCUACAAAAAAAUGCAAAACAGCCCAAAAUUUAUGCUUUCUUUCUCUACACUGGCUCAAGUAAAGAACAAAUGAUCAAUAAAAAGCACUUACACUAAGUUCUAAA